rnacentral:rRNA from 1 species
AUUGAACGCUGGCGGCAGGCCUAACACAUGCAAGUCGAACGAGUGGCGGACGGGUGAGUAAUGUCUGGGAAACUGCCUGAUGGAGGGGGAUAACUACUGGAAACGGUAGCUAAUACCGCAUACUAUCGUAUCUGCCCAGAUGGGAUUAGCUAGUAGGUGGCGUAAAGGCUCACCUAGGCGACGAUCCCUAGCUGGUCUGAGAGGAUGCCCAACCAACCUGGAACUGAGACACGGCCCAGACUCCAACGUGAGGCAGCAGUGGGGAGUAUUGAGCAAGAAGCGCAAGCCUAAUGCAGCCAUGCCGCGUGUAUGGAGAAGGCCUUCGGGUUGUAAAGUACUUUCCGCGGUGCGGCGUUAACCGCAGAAGAAGCACCGGCUAACUCCGUGCCAGCAGCCGCGGUAAUAC